rnacentral:rRNA from 2 species
UGGGGAAUAUUGCGCAAUGGGGGAAACCCUGACGCAGCAACGCCGCGUGAAGGAUGAAGGUUUUCGGAUUGUAAACUUCUUUGAUGAGGGACGAUAAUGACGGUACCUCAAAAACAAGCCACGGCUAACUACGUGCCAGCAGCCGCGGUAAUACGUAGGUGGCAAGCGUUGUCCGGAUUUACUGGGUGUAAAGGGCGUGUAGGCGGGAAAGCAAGUCAGAUGUGAAAUACCGGGGCUUAACUCCGGGGCUGCAUCUGAAACUGUUUUUCUUGAGUGUCGGAGAGGAAAGCGGAAUUCCUAGUGUAGCGGUGAAAUGCGUAGAUAUUAGGAGGAACACCAGUGGCGAAGGCGGCUUUCUGGACGACAACUGACGCUGAGGCGCGAAAGCGUGGGGAGCAAACAGG